rfam:Macaca mulatta chromosome 10, whole genome shotgun sequence.
AUCCCCCAGGGGUCUUGUUAAAAUGCAGAUUCAGUUUUGGCGGGGCUAGGGCAUGGCUCCAGACUCUGCAUUUCUAACAAGUUUCCAGGGGAUGCCCA